rnacentral:rRNA from 1 species
AACGAACGCUGGCGGCAUGCCUAACACAUGCAAGUCGAACGAGACCUUCGGGUCUAGUGGCGCACGGGUGCGUAACGCGUGGGAACCUGCCCUUAGGUUCGGAAUAACUCCCCGAAAGGGGUGCUAAUACCGGAUAAUGUCUUCGGACCAAAGAUUUAUCGCCUUUGGAUGGGCCCGCGUUGGAUUAGCUAGUUGGUAGGGUAAAAGCCUACCAAGGCGACGAUCCAUAGCUGGUCUGAGAGGAUGAUCAGCCACAAUGGGACUGAGACACGGCCCAGACUCCUACGGGAGGCAGCAGUGGGGAAUAUUGGACAAGGGGCGAAAGCCUGAUCCAGCAAUGCCGCGUGAGUGAUGAAGGCCUUAGGGUUGUAAAGCUCUUUUACCCGGGACGAUAAUGACAGUACCGGGAGAAUAAGCUCCGGCUAACUCCGUG